rnacentral:rRNA from 1 species
GACAGAGGGUGCAAACGUUGUUCGGAAUUACUGGGCGUAAAGCGCGUGUAGGCGGCUGUGCAAGUCGGAUGUGAAAUCCCGUGGCUCAACCACGGAAGUGCACCCGAAACUGCGCAGCUGGAGUCUCGGAGAGGAAGGUGGAAUGCUUGGUGUAGAGGUGAAAUUCGUAGAUAUCAAGCGGAACACCGGUGGCGAAGGCGGCCUUCUGGACAGUGACUGACGCUGAGACGCGAAAGCGUGGGGAGCAAACAGG